rnacentral:misc_RNA from 1 species
AACCUAGCACACCUGCGGUGUGUACCUGCGGAAGGAUCAUUACACAUAUUACGGGGGGUCGGUCACCCAGAGCGUCGCCUCUUAGCACCUCUGGGCCCUGCCCUGUCUGAAUAUUCUACCCAUGUCUUUUGCGCACUCUUCGUUUCCUCGGUGGGCUUGCCUGCCGAUAGGACACUAUAAAACCUUUUUGUAAUUGCAAUCAGCGUCAGAAAAACUUUUAAUAGUUACAACUUUCAGCAA